GCCCCAGUAGCUCAGCGGACAGAGCGGCUGCCUUCUAAGCAGCGGGUCCCGGGUUCGAAUCCUGGCUGGGGCGCCA
rnacentral:tRNA from 1 species